AGCAGCCGCGGUAAUUCCAGCUCCAAUAGCGUAUAUUAAAGUUGUUGCAGUUAAAAAGCUCGUAGUUGAAUUUCGGGGUUAGUAGGUUGGUCGUGCCACUGGUACGUACUGGUCUCACUGACUCCUCCUUCCUGGUGAACUGUAAUGCCAUUAAUUUGGUGUUGCGGGGAAACUGGACUGUUACUUUGAAAAAAUUAGAGUGUUUAAAGCAAGCUAACGCUUGAAUACAUUAGCAUGGAAUAAUGAAAUAGGACGUUCGAUCCUAUUUUGUUGGUUUCUAGGAUUGACGUAAUGAUUAAUAGGGAUAGUUGGGGGCAUUAGUAUUCAAUUGUCAGAGGUGAAAUUCUUGGAUUUAUUGAAGACUAACUACUGCGAAAGCAUUUGCCAAGGAUGUUUUCAUUAAUCAAGAACGAAAGUUAGGGGAUCGAAGACGAUCAGAUACCGUCGUAGUCUUAACCAUAAACUAUGCCGACUAGGGAUCGGAUGAUGUUAAUUUUUUAAUGACUCAUUCGGCGCCUUACG
rnacentral:rRNA from 1 species